UACGAAGGGAGCUAGCGUUGUUCGGAAUCACUGGGCGUAAAGCGCACGUAGGCGGAUGUGUCAGUCAGGGGUGAAAUCCCGGAGCUCAACUUCGGAACUGCCCUUGAUACAGCACGUCUUGAGUCCGGAAGAGGUGGGUGGAAUUCCUAGUGUAGAGGUGAAAUUCGUAGAUAUUAGGAAGAACACCGGUGGCGAAGGCGGGUCUCUGGGCCGAUACUGACGCUGAGGAGCGAAAGCGUGGGGAGCGAACAGG
rnacentral:rRNA from 1 species